rnacentral:rRNA from 1 species
UGCGUAGGUGGUCUGAUAAGUUAUCUGUGAAAUCCCUGGGCUCAACCUGGGCAGGUCAGAUAAUACUGUUGGACUCGAGUAUAGGAGAGGGUAGUGGAAUUUCCGGUGUAGCGGUGAAAUGCGUAGAGAUCGGAAGGAACACCAGUGGCGAAGGCGGCUACCUGGCCUGAUACUGACACUGAGGCAAGCUGGGGAGCAAAC